rnacentral:rRNA from 1 species
AUUGAACGCUGGCGGCAGGCCUAACACAUGCAAGUCGAGCGAGCGGCGGACGGGUGAGUAAUGUAUGGGGAUCUGCCCGAUAGAGGGGGAUAACUACUGGAAACGGUAGCUAAUACCGCAUACUAUCGGAUGAACCCAUAUGGGAUUAGCGAGUGGGUGGGGUAAAGGCUCACCUAGGCGACGAUUCCUAGCUGGUCUUAGAGGAUGACCAGGCACACUGGGACGUAGGCACGGUCCAGACUCCUACGGGAGGGAGCAAGGGGGAAUAGUGCGCAAUGGGCGAAAGCCUGAUGCAGCCAUGCCGCGUGUAUGAAGAAGGCCUUCGGGUUGUAAAGUACUUUCAGCGGGGAGACGUGACCCGAAGAAGAAGCACCGGGUAACUCCGUGCCAGCAGCCGCGGUAAUUC